rnacentral:ncRNA from 2 species
AUGUUAUAAAGAAAGGAGGAGGGAUUAGACCCGAUGAAUCCUUAGCAACCCUUCGUUAAUUCGAAGAAGGUGCUGCAUUCUACCACGCCCAAACGUGGAAAGAUAACAA